GAUCAUGGUAGUUUUAAACCUAAACCGCUAGGCCGUGGCCCUAACAAUAGAAGACCCCAUAUACCUUCUCCAUGACC
rnacentral:tRNA from 2 species